GUUCUCUGUUAAUGUACCUGUGAAAGUAGAGGAUGGCGGCAUGAGGCCAACACAGGAGAGUAGAGGGACUCCUCCAUGAAACCCAGGGACGAGGCCGCCCCUCCUCUCUGGAGCCUGUCUGGAGGCACAGUU
ensembl:snoRNA